rnacentral:rRNA from 1 species
AUUGAACGCUGGCGGCAUGCCUUACACAUGCAAGUCGAACGGCAGCACGGGUGCUUGCACCUGGUGGCGAGUGGCGAACGGGUGAGUAAUACAUCGGAACAUGUCCUGUAGUGGGGGAUAGCCCGGCGAAAGCCGGAUUAAUACCGCAUACGAUCUACGGAGGAAAGCGGGGGACCUUCGGUCCUCGCGCUAUAGGGUUGGCCGAUGGCUGAUUAGCUAGUUGGUGGGGUAAAGGCCUACCAAGGCGACGAUCAGUAGCUGGUCUGAGAGGACGACCAGCCACACUGGGACUGAGACACGGCCCAGACUCCUACGGGAGGCAGCAGUGGGGAAUUUUGGACAAUGGGCGAAAGCCUGAUCCAGCAAUGCCGCGUGUGUGAAGAAGGCCUUCGGGUUGUAAAGCACUUUUGUCCGGAAAGAAAUCCUUGGCCCUAAUACGGUCGGGGGAUGACGGUACCGGAAGAAUAAGCACCGGCUAACUACGUG